UACGUAGGCAGCGAGCGUUGUUCGGAGUUACUGGGCGUAAAGGGUGUGUAGGCGGUUCUUUUAAGUUUGGUGUGAAAUCUCCCGGCUCAACCGGGAGGGUGCGCCGAAUACUGAGGGACUAUAGUAUGGGAUGGGAAAGUGGAAUUCCUGGUGUAGCGGUGAAAUGCGUAGAUAUCAGGAGGAACACCUGUGGUGUAGACGGCUUUCUGGACCAUAACUGACGCUGAGACACGAAAGCGUGGGUAGCAAACAGG
rnacentral:rRNA from 1 species